ensembl:lncRNA
CCCAAUUAUAAACCAUACGGGGGAGAAGCAAAUGAUGGUUUAACAGCAUUUAAAGCCAAAGUUUGUAUAAGACAGAUGUGAAUUUUCAAACUAAACAGUUUUACUAUGAGGAAAAAAGUUGAAGCAAUAGAGGAAAGAGCUGUGUCCCCCUCUGCAACCAAAGAACUGAAAAGUGUGUGAUGGUUUUCUUUCAGGGAAGUUUAAGCCAUUUGUGGCUUUUUUGAUAGCUCUAAUCUGUUCAAGUUCCCAACUGUGCAAACCUACUAUCUUGACCAGGAAUGGAGGAGCUGUUCCACAUUCCAGGACUCCUUCAGCCUUGACCUCAUCUCUAAGAUACGUUCUCCUUUCAGCCAAUUAGAAGUUCAAAUGCAACUACAAGCAUUUGUCAAAAUCAAUCCUGUAUAACAGUGUCGGAGUACGAGACCCAGAACUGCCCGGAUUGAAGCAAUUAGUUUUUCUACUUAAGACAUAAUGGAACUAACAUCAAAAAUAUUCUUUUUCCAGAGAUGCUUUGUGACUGUAUCUUCAGAACAGCAGCAGCCAUACAACAAAAAGGAAACAAAACGAUGCAUCGAGAGCAUGACUUCAAUACACACAAACUCAGCAUCCAGCAGAACAACGUAUCUAAAAGCAAAGGUCACUGCCAUUAGUCAUCCUUAAAGGAAAGCGAGAACUUUGCUAGAUUAAGCCUGAACUUCAGUGCCAUACUGACUCCAGGAAUUUGCAUAGGAUCUAAUUCCCCCCCACUAUAUUUGUUUCGAGGAUAUUAGAGACUUGCAGUGAAGAUAUUUAAAAUCACCACAGUGCUUUCCCAGCUCUGUUCGGUGGUUGAACGUUAUCAAUACUUUGGUGAACUGCUCUCAUUGUUCCGAUAUUUCAGUGCUAUAUUGCAGAGUCUUGUCAUUUCAAAGCCACACCAACCAAGCCAUUUCAUUGUCCACAGAGAACCAUGGUGUCAGCAAAGCUGGAGGAAAAGGAACUUUCUAACUAUUAAUGUCUUUAACGAGCAUCGUGCUUUUGUUAUUAGUUGGGAAUACGGUAGACCAAAGUUCUCCCCUGGGACUCUCACACUUUAGAAGCUGACAAAGGCAUGGUUUGACAGACUGACAGGACAUGACAUCUCGAUGAUGUUUUUUGUACUUGUUGUUGCUCAAGAGCCCACAGCAGAAGCUGGGGUUGGGGGGACUGGGGGCAGGGCCGGAGAAAGAAUGUGAGAUGUCAGAGAACAGCAUCAGGCCUUCACACAACGUAAGCUGAGUGAUUCUGCAAUGACUUUCCUACUCGUGAAACAGAUCUAAGGAAUGCACUGAACUGGCACGAUGCAUGAAAGAAAUGUUGACUGCAGCUCUUUCUGGUAGCAUUGAAACACACUUGAAUGUUUUGAUUUAAAAUACUGACAAUUAAAUUUGCUAAUCUUUCUCUGUGAGCUAUCUACAACACAUGUUCUAAUAGGUUAUAAUACACUAACUACUGUAAUGAAGGACAUGACAGACUCCCUUAGCCCUUAAACCCUGCCUACUAGCACUGAACGGUUUAUAUUCUGAUAACAAACAGUGCCACAUGCAGCAGUCUUGUUCUCGGUACACGUGCCAGGUAUGCGUGCAGAAUGAAACCCUUCUGUCACUUCCUAAGUCGGUAGCUCAGAUUUAAAUCACAGCCUCUUGUUUCUAUCACACAAGCCGUCUUCCCGAAACUAUAGUCCUUUUAAAAGCGACGGACGAGGAGCCCCAUUGGCAGUGCCAGGAGGGAUGCGCCUCCCGCUGCCGGGGAAGGAAGCUGCG